GCGCUCGCUUCGGCAGCACAUAGACUAAAAUUGGAACGAUACAGAGAAGAUUAGCACGGCUCCUACGCAAGGAUGACCAGAAAAA
ensembl:snRNA U6 U6 spliceosomal RNA